GUUUGUUGAAAAUCAUCCUCUGCUUUGUCCUGUGGCCGGGGAUGAGAUUAGGCGCCCAGAGCCACAGGGGCCUCAGCUCACCGCGCCCGCUGCCUCAGUGUUGGAGGGUGAAACCCAGGCCCCUACAUUG